CGUUGACGGUAUUUAACCAGAAAGUCACGGCUAACUACGUGCCAGCAGCCGCGGUAAUACGUAGGUGGCAAGCGUUAUCCGGAUUUAUUGGGCGUAAAGAGAGUGCAGGCGGUUUUCUAAGUCUGAUGUGAAAGCCUUCGGCUUAACCGGAGAAGUGCAUCGGAAACUGGAUAACUUGAGUGCAGAAGAGGGUAGUGGAACUCCAUGUGUAGCGGUGGAAUGCGUAGAUAUAUGGAAGAACACCAGUGGCGAAGGCGGCUACCUGGUCUGCAACUGACGCUGAGACUCGAAAGCAUGGGUAGCGAACAGGAUUAGAUACCCUGGUAGUCCAUGCCGUAAACGAUGAGUGCUAGGUGUUGGAGGGUUUCCGCCCUUCAGUGCCGGAGCUAACGCAUUAAGCACUCCGCCUGGGGAGUACGACCGCAAGGUUGAAACUCAAAGGAAUUGACGGGGGCCCGCACAAGCGGUGGAGCAUGUGGUUUAAUUCGAAGCUACGCGAAGAACCUUACCAGGUCUUGACAUCUUGCGCCAACCCUAGAGAUAGGGCGUUUCCUUCGGGAACGCAAUGACAGGUGGUGCAUGGUCGUCGUCAGCUCGUGUCGUGAGAUGUUGGGUUAAGUCCCGCAACGAGCGCAACCCUUGUUACUAGUUGCCAGCAUUAAGUUGGGCACUCUAGUGAGACUGCCGGUGACAAACCGGAGGAAGGUGGGGACGACGUCAGAUCAUCAUGCCCCUUAUGACCUGGGCUACACACGUGCUACAAUGGACGGUACAACGAGUCGCGAACUCGCGAGGGCAAGCAAAUCUCUUAAAACCGUUCUCAGUUCGGACUGCAGGCUGCAACUCGCCUGCACGAAGUCGGAAUCGCUAGUAAUCGCGGAUCAGCAUGCCGCGGUGAAUACGUUCCCGGGCCUUGUACACACCGCCCGUCACACCAUGAGAGUUUGUAACACCCAAAGUCGGUGGGGUAACCUUUUAGGAGCCAGCCGCCUAAGGUGGGACAGAUGAUUAGGGUGAAGUCGUAACAAGGUAGCCGUAGGAGAACCUGCGGCUGGAUCACCUCCUUU
rnacentral:rRNA from 1 species